rnacentral:misc_RNA from 1 species
AACAUAUACAUGCAUAUAAUAAAAUGAUGAAAAUAUGAGCAAAAAUUUGAAUCAACCCGAAUAUGCGAUUAUAGAGCAAAUGUUCAUAGGAUCUUAAUAUUCAUGCUUAGAAGAAGAUUAUCAACUAUUAUUGAUGAUAAUAUCAUGAAAUCAUAUCCAAAAAUAAGCUAAUUUUUAGAAGACUACCAAUAAUUAAACAAAAACAAACCUAGGCGAAUUUUUCAAGACCCGGCUUAGUGCAAGUUUCGGGCAUUUCGAACCUUGUCAGAGCUGCUCACGGCUAUUGCUACCACAGAGCUACUGGUUGCUGAAAUCUCCCAUCCUCGUGUGGCUGCUGCUUGCUGUUGCAGGCUACCUGGGCCAGAUGGGGAAAUGGUUUUGCUGGUCGAAGUUGUUGAUUCGCCGGUCAGAGUUGUUGGUCGCCUCGCCUGGAAAUUAGAGAGGAUAAGCGAGUUGCUAUCUCGCUAGUUGCUGGCUGAAAAAGGAGAAAAGAAAGAAAGGAGAAUAAGAAGGGGAAGACGAAGGGGAAACGGGAGAGGAAAGAGGGGAAGAGGGAGGCGGAGAAAGGGAGAAGAAGAAGAAGAGUGAUGGGAGAGGGAAGCGGCUAGUUAGAGUUGCUGCUGGGUCGAGUUGUUCCUGCUCGCUGAAACCUGCUACCUGCAAAAGAAGAAAAGAAAGGAGCAGAGGAAGGGGAAGAGAAGAGACGGGAGGGUACAGAAGGCGAUGGGGAGAAAGAGGGAGAAAGGGAACGAUGGGAGAGGGGAGAAGGAUGGGAGAGAGAAAGAGGGGAAGAAGAAUGAGAGGGAGAGGAGGAGAGAAGGAGGGGAGCGG